rnacentral:lncRNA from 1 species
CUAUAGUAGAGAUGAUAUGGUAGUGUUAACUGUUUAGAAUAUAACGAUGCUUAAAACCCAAAAGGUUGCAAGGUGGUGACUAAUCCCAACUGAGUUGUGAUACCUCUAAAACAUAAAUUAUGAGUUGGUCAUAGAUGGAUGCUUUGGAUCGUUAGAUCCGGAUGCAAUGCCUUCUUGUUAAAAUUGUAUAGAGGCAAAAUGUUUGAAUCUUUAUUCUUUUGGAAAGGAAGAAAGAAUCACAAAGUUGUUGAGGUUAAUUCACGUAGAUGUUAGUGGCACAUGUCCACAACAUCAUACUACUCAUGUUGUAUGACAUUCACCGAAGAUCGCUCUCGGUUGGACUAUCAUU